AUUAGCUGUAAAAACUAAGGAAUUUGACUUUACCAAGAGCUUAGAUCCUAUCCACCUGCUUUGUUAUUUCCCUCAACCUUCCUUCCCCUGUGUUUAAAAAGAAUCCCCCUAUCAUGUUAAGAAUCUUCUCCUGACACCAUGCCACUCAUGAGGCAACUGAGGAAUCUGUAGGGACAGCUCAUUUCCUCAUGGCAUCACACUGUCAAAGAGCCACCAUUCUUCAAUGCCCAUAAACAUGAGUGUAAGGAACAAGGAUGGCGAACCAUGAGCGUAGAGGUCCGUAGUAGUUAGAGCCAUUACACAACUUGAGGGUCUGAGUGAAAAGGGCCUUGAAGAAACUAGUCGAUACCCAAUAAGCAAGAAUCUCUCCCUGAGGUCGCCCCAAAGCUCACUGGGUCCAUUCUUGUUACUGCAGCUAACUAAAGCCCACAUGUCCUCCUCAAGGUCUGAGUGUGAGAGGUUUCACACCCGAUUCACCUCACUGAAUUCUGUCCCCAGUUGGGUGGGCUAUUUAGGAAGUUGGCAAAUCCCAUAGUAGCGGUACCCAGCAGGAGAAAUUGAAUCAUUAGAAGCCAUGGGACAUGUCAGAAGCCUGGAAGCAACUACUUCAAACCCAUCUUCCUGAGACCCCAGCCAUGGUUUCCCUGUGCUCAGAGAGCCUGAAGCACAGUAAAAUCUGUGUACCCUAUGUUUUUGUUUCUCGGGGAUUUUUGUCACGGCAAUGAGAAAAGUAAUUCUGUGCUUGGAGACAGGACGUGAAGACGUGCUUUAUUAUUUAAUCAUUUUUGGUUGUAAAAAGCUGUGAUUGGUCCAUUGUGUUUAACCUCACAGAAGUCAUUGUGAAGAGUUGCAGACUCCGCCCACAUAAGACACUACUCGCUGCUUGGUUGGCUACAGAGUCGCUGGUUCACAGAAGGCUUGGAUAUUAUUGACCUCCUGAAAACAGAUUCUGUUGAUGUGCUUGGACCCCCAAACAGCGAGUUUGUUUCCUGGUUUAUCAUCUCGUGGUGAUCCCAUUCCCCACCUGUUACAGUGGUGGACUUGGAGAAGGAAAUCCCAUGCAUGGAUUUCUGCGAUGCAAAUUUACCACCAGCAUCCAGACAAACUGGUUCCAGGCUGUCCAUAUCUACCAUUGUGGACUCCAUGUGUUGUUUAGGCCAAAAGGCCGAAGAAACUCUGGGACUCAUAGGAGCAAAUAGGCUUCAUGAUGUCCUGACAAAAAAUAAUAUGUUCAACAGGAAAAAAAUUGUUGGGAACAUCCUUGGAGAAAUAAGGCAUGUUCCAAAGAUUUGUUCUGCCAAGAGUCCUGCAGGUCCUGACAACCUCGCUUCCGCCCUUUGGAGGAGAGAGAGUGAUCCUGCCUUGUCCAUGUCCG
ensembl:lncRNA